rnacentral:rRNA from 1 species
GGACGAACGCUGGCGGCGUGCUUAACACAUGCAAGUCGAGCGAUGAAGCACCUUCGGGUGUGAAUUAGCGGCGAACGGGUGAGGAACACGUGAGAAAUCUGCCUUCAACACUGGGAUAACUCCGGGAAACCGGGGCUAAUACCGGAUAUGAAACCUGCGGGCAUCCGCGGGUUUGGAAAGUUUUCGGUUGAAGAUGAUCUCGCGGCCUAUCAGCUUGUUGGUGAGGUAAUGGCUCACCAAGGCGACGACGGGUAGCCGGCCUGAGAGGGCGACCGGCCACACUGGGACUGAGACACGGCCCAGACUCCUACGGGAGGCAGCAGUGGGGAAUAUUGGGCAAUGGAGGAAACUCUGACCCAGCGACGCCGCGUGCGGGAUGAAGGCCUUCGGGUUGUAAACCGCUUUCAGCAGGGAAGAAGCGAAAGUGACGGUACCUGCAGAAGAAGCACCGGCUAACUAUGUG